AGGAUAAACGCUGGCGGCGUGCCUAACACAUGCAAGUCGAACGUCUCUUUCUUCGGGAAGAGGAGUGGCGGACGGGUGAGGAACACGUGGGAACCUGCCCUACAGUGAGGAAUACCGGCGAGAAAUCGCCGACAAGACCGCAUAGCCCUCUCUGGUGAGAGCCAGAGAAGGAAAGCUUCGCAAGAGGCGCUGGAGGAGGGGCCUGCGUCCGAUUAGCUAGUUGGUGGGGUAAGAGCCUACCAAGGCGUCGAUCGGUAGCUGGUCUGAGAGGACGAUCAGCCACACUGGGAUUGAGAACGGCCCAGACUCCUACGGGGGGCAGCAGUGAGGAAUUUUCGGCAAUGGGGGAAACCCUGACCGAGCAACGCCGCGUGCAGGAAGACGGCCUCGGGUUGUAAACUGCUUUCUUUGGGACGAGCAAGGACGGUACCAGAGGAAUCAGCCCGGCUCACUACGCGCAAGCAGCCGC
rnacentral:rRNA from 1 species